rnacentral:piRNA from 1 species
AACAGCAGGGCAAGCCAGAAUGGAGG